GAGACCUCAGGUCAGGCGGGGCUACCCGCU
rnacentral:rRNA from 1 species